rnacentral:rRNA from 1 species
CUUGACAUCCAGAGAACUUGGCAGAGAUGCCUUGGUGCCUUCGGGAACUCUGAGACAGGUGCUGCAUGGCUGUCGUCAGCUCGUGUUGUGAAAUGUUGGGUUAAGUCCGCAACGAGCGCAACCCCUAUCCUUUGUUGCCAGCGAUUCGGUCGGGAACUCAAAGGAGACUGCCGGUGAUAAACCGGAGGAAGGUGGGGAUGACGUCAAGUCAUCAUGGCCCUUACGAGUAGGGCUACACACGUGCUACAAUGGCGUAUACAAAGAGAAGCGACCUCGCGAGAGCAAGCGGACCUCAUAAAGUACGUCGUAGUCCGGAUUGGAGUCUGCAACUCGACUCCAUGAAGUCGGAAUCGCUAGUAAUCGUAGAUCAGAAUGCUACGGUGAAUACGUUCCCGGGCCUUGUACACACCGCCCGUCACACCAUGGGAGUGGGUUGCAAAAGAAGUAGAUAGCUUAACCUUCGGGAGGGCGUUUACCACUUUGUGAUUCAUGACUGGGGUGAAGUCGUAACAAGGUAGGCGUAGCGAG